rnacentral:rRNA from 1 species
GACGAACGCUGGCGGCGUGCUUAACACAUGCAAGUCGAACGGAAAGGCCCUGCUUUUGUGGGGUGCUCGAGUGGCGAACGGGUGAGUAACACGUGAGUAACCUGCCCUUGACUUUGGGAUAACUUCAGGAAACUGGGGCUAAUACCGGAUAGGAGCUCCUGCUGCAUGGUGGGGGUUGGAAAGUUUCGGCGGUUGGGGAUGGACUCGCGGCUUAUCAGCUUGUUGGUGGGGUAGUGGCUUACCAAGGUUUUGACGGGUAGCCGGCCUGAGAGGGUGACCGGCCACAAUGGGACUGAGAUACGGCCCAGACUCCUACGGGAGGCAGCAGUGGGGAAUAUUGCACAAUGGGCGGAAGCCUGAUGCAGCAACGCCGCGUGCGGGAUGACGGCCUUCGGGUUGUAAACCGCUUUCGCAUGUGACGAAGCGUGAGUGACGGUAAUGGGUAAAGAAGCACCGGCUAACUACGUG